rnacentral:rRNA from 1 species
AUGUGAAAGCCCGCGGCUCAACCUCGGAAUUGCAUUUGAAACUGGCAGACUAGAGUACUGUAGAGGCGGGUAGAAUUUCAGGUGUAGCGGUGAAAUGCGUAGAGAUCUGAAGGAAUACCGGUGGCGAAGGCGGCCCCCUGGACAGAUACUGACACUCAGAUGCGGCCGCGUGGGGAGCAAACAGGAUUAGAUACCCUGGUAGUCCACGCCGUAAACGAUGUCUACUUGGAGGUUGUGGCCUUGAGCCGUGGCUAUCGGAGCUAACGCGUUAAGUAGACCGCCUGGGGAGUACGGUCGCAAGAUUUAAACUCAAAUGAAUUGACGGGGGCCCGCACAAGCGGUGGAGCAUGUGGUUUAAUUCGAUGCAACGCGAAGAACCUUACCUACUCUUGACAUCCAGAGAACUUUCCAGAGAUGGAUUGGUGCCUUCGGGAACUCUGAGA